GGGUUAAGUCCCGCAACGAGCGCAACCCUUAUCCUUUGUUGCCAGCGGUCCGGCCGGGAACUCAAAGGAGACUGCCAGUGAUAAACUGGAGGAAGGUGGGGAUGACGUCAAGUCAUCAUGGCCCUUACGACCAGGGCUACACACGUGCUACAAUGGCGCAUACAAAGAGAAGCGACCUCGCGAGAGCAAGCGGACCUCAUAAAGUGCGUCGUAGUCCGGAUUGGAGUCUGCAACUCGACUCCAUGAAGUCGGAAUCGCUAGUAAUCGUGGAUCAGAAUGCCACGGUGAAUACGUUCCCGGGCCUU
rnacentral:rRNA from 1 species